AUUCAUAUUAUUAUUACCACACCAAACAUAAUGUAAUUUAAUCGUCAGGUUUUGACCUUGAUGUCUUUGGGAGACCACAUUUUUACAGCAAUUUGUCAACUAUCAGACCGUACAGGUAACAGGAAGAAAGUUUGGUACUAGUUAGGCUUUAACUUUAUGGCAUUAUGUGCACAAGUUUGGAAAUGUGUGCGCGAUCAUGCAGAAUGUGCGAGACAGAGCGCAAAUCUGACGGAUCACGAUCGAUGUGACCUUAAAAGCUUUUAACCUGCUCUGUGCCGUUCAGUUACAGCUGUGAAGUUUUGCAUAGCAACAACCUCACCGCUCAAAGUAAGGGGGGAUCUAUAUCUGACCAACUUCUGUCAAAAACGAAAAUAUAUCUUUACUUGUCUUCAUUUAAUUUCUUGCCCUCACAUUAAAGACAAGUUAAAAGAAACAUUUCAAAAGACGUUUGUUUGCUACUCGCAAUACGUAACUUCGAAAUUAACUUUGGUUUGUUGUUUUUGAAGUUCGCUAGUGUUGAAAUCUGCACAGCAACAAGCGCCAUGAUUGCGUUUUCCGAGUGCCCUGGUAACUGGCGCGCGCGGUUUCUAUCCAAUAAAAGAGCGCGUGAUGUGUUCGCAGUUAUGCGGUGGAACUGUUUUACCCAACAUCACUACUUUUCAUAGGAUUAUUGCAUUAUUGUAAAAAAUUUUUAUUUUGACUGACAUCACCUUCUUGUCCUUUGGGGUGACUAGUAAGCAGAUGUCGAGGUAAAUGGACCAUAAAAAGUGAUGGGUGGAUUUUUUCUGGAGAAGUACACAGUGCUCAAAAACUAUUUACAUACUCUUAACUCUCUGGUCACUUGUGGUAAUUCGGUACCUGUUCUGAGAAAACAUCACACUCACAACGUUCUUACACAACCUGCCUUCCUCCCUGAUUAAAUCAUCAUUACCAGGUAAGCGUGCCUAAACUGUCUCUAAAAAGUUCACCGUGUCCAACCCUUUAUUAUAACUUCAGAAAACCAGCAAAUAAUCUAAAAUUAUUUUCAUAUUCAAUAUAAGAUUUACAAGUACAUUCAAAUCAGUCAAGACAUGCAUUUUUAGAGUACCAGAUGAGUAAGGUGAACGACAAGGUUUCAUACGGCUGUAUCGUUGAAUGACUCUCAUGCGAGAGUGUAAGAAAUAAUUUACAUGACGUGUGCAAAGUGCAAAAUAACCGUGCUAAUAAUAACAGAAUAAUUUCAUGCAUGACUAACUUUCAAUAUUUAUCAUGUUCUAUUUCUGAUGUUGGUUGCUUUUGUAAACCCCCAGGUUUCUGUUCCAUUCAGUAAACGCACAUGUGCUUUUGUACCAGGUGAUCCAAUACUGACAAUAAACUUUUGGUGUAACACAAGCAAGAGGACAGGGAAGCAUCUGCUGUCUAUAAGGGUAAAAUUACAGGUUAUGAAAA